UACGGGGGGGGCAAGCGUUGUUCGGAAUUACUGGGCGUAAAGGGCUCGUAGGCGGCCAACUAAGUCAGACGUGAAAUCCCUCGGCUUAACCGGGGAACUGCGUCUGAUACUGGAUGGCUUGAGUUCGGGAGAGGGAUGCGGAAUUCCAGGUGUAGCGGUGAAAUGCGUAGAUAUCUGGAGGAACACCGGUGGCGAAGGCGGCAUCCUGGACCGAUACUGACGCUGAGGAACGAAAGCAUGGGGAGCGAACAGG
rnacentral:rRNA from 1 species